GAAGGAUGACUUUGCAGUACGGAGGAGUCGUUAUCCCGCCGUGGAGCAUCGGCGGCACUCCAAUUAGGGCACGCAAGACGACGGCGCCCUUCGUGGUGGCCCUCUGCCAUCCUCUCCACCGCGACGCCGGCUCACGCCAGCUGCGCAUUCAACUCGACCAACUUCGCGCCGAGGCGGAGGCCACCCGCUCCAAAGCCAAUGCUGCACGAUUGAGGCUCAUGCGUCUAACAGAGGCAGCUGAGAAUCUUCGAAGCAGAGCUGCUAUGAGCAUCCAAGUUGGAAAGGAAACUGAGGCAACGGAGCUACUCAUACAAAAGAAGAAGUUGAUGCAAGCCUUAAAGAAAUCAAAGAAUCGCAUUGAGGUUCUUGAUAAACUUUCAUCAAAGAUUAAUGAGGCAAUUUCUCUGAAGGAAACACAACUAAUUGGACAAGUUGCCAUUCAACCUGAAGAUAACAUAUCAGAUUCCUGUGGACAGAUUCAUUUUGUCUCCCCAAAAGAGGAUACUGUUGAAGUAUCAAAGUCAAAAGACUCUUCAAUCUUAUCAGAACAAUGUGAGCAUCAAGAUCAUGAUGCUGGAAAUUAUGAAGACAAACCAUCAGGAGAUAGUGGACAACCAACUUUUCUGGCAUCUGUGAGCAGUGACAUGUCGAAUUUUGCGAAGAUGGUUGACAGUUCAGAAGGCUUCCAUGAGCACAUACUCGAGAAUAUUGAUAUGCAACUUAAAUUACUGGAAACAGACAUUGAAAAUUUCUUAAGGUCUCAAUCCAUGACAGAAGAAACCAAACAGAAGCAGAUGAAUGAAAAACUAGAGAAACUAUCAGAGAUACUCAAGGAUGUACUCAGCAUCAGAGAGAGAUGUGUGAAAAUGGGGAGAAUAGAAGUGAGAGGACGUGUAAAGUGAAGCACUAGAAGACCAGUGCAACAAAACCAAAGGCUAAUCCUGUAUCAUAUAGUUUUUGCUUGCUGAGGUGCCAACCUGCUUCCAGUAAUUAGUAGAAGUGGCAACUGAUCAUGAUCCGUAUGGUGUUUAUGGUCUCUAAAGGGCAGACCAAGACAGUUCCAUCAUCUGGAGUGAUCCAAAUAGGUUUGCCAAAGUCAACCCUUGACUCUGUGAGUAGCUGAGAUAAAUCAUUCGGGACUAGCAUGAUUAUUUUCAGGUAAAAAAUCAUUGGAGUAUGUGAAGCAGUCUGAGGUUCUUAAGUUGCUAUUGGCCAUCCUGGCAGAAUACGAUUACGUCAUCAACAAACUUGAUUAUAUGAACUGCCCCGAUUACACAUUCUAUUGCAAGCCCUGAAAAUAAGAUCUCCCUCUGGCCCUGCAGCAAAAGGUGAUAAAGGUCGGUGAAGAGGAAGAGAGAAGUUGGUAUUAAGUGAAUCACCUUGUCUUGAUUCCUUCUUGCAUCUAUACCACCAUCCAGAAAAUCCAUGCAUGAAAAUUGUCGAUUUGUUUGAACAAAGAAGAGAAACAAUCUGACUCGUUUAGCUCCAAAUUUGGGAGAAACUGCAGUAUUGUGCCUGAGCCAAAUGCCUUUUUAUAAGUUAGCUUCAGAAAGGUACGGGUUUACGCUCGAGAUUCUCUUGUAAGGGGUUAGAUUAUGCGUUGUCAUGAAAUAAUCUCCAUCCCAUCUGUGCUUAACAAAGUCAUGUUUGUAAUAGAGGAUUUUGUUAAUAUGUUGUCAACCUCUUAUUUUUGUUUUUUUUUUUCUUACAACAUAUUGCUUUAGAUUGUCAUCAUUUAUUUUUCGAUUAAAAGAUUUGGACAGAAAUAUAUGCUAGACAGUAGAUGGUCAUUUUUCAUGAUACAUUGGAGAUUAUCUUUGAAUGCUUAAA